GGAACUUCCGCAAUGGACGAAAGUCUGACGGAGCACGCCGCGUGAGUGAUGAAGGUUUUCGGAUCGUAAAACUCUGUUGUUAGGGAAGAACAAGUACCGUUCGAAUAGGGCGGUACCUUGACGGUACCUAACCAGAAAGCCACGGCUAACUACGUGCCAGCAGCCGCGGUAAUACGUAGGUGGCAAGCGUUGUCCGGAAUUAUUGGGCGUAAAGCGCGCGCAGGCGGUUUCUUAAGUCUGAUGUGAAAGCCCCCGGCUCAACCGGGGAGGGUCAUUGGAAACUGGGGAAACUUGAGUGCAGAAGAGGAGAGUGGAAUUCCACGUGUAGCGGUGAAAUGCGUAGAGAUGUGGAGGAACACCAGUGGCGAAGGCGACUCUCUGGUCUGUAACUGACGCUGAGGCGCGAAAGCGUGGGGAGCGAACAGGAUUAGAUACCCUGGUAGUCCACCCCGUAAACGAUGAGUGCUAAGUGUUAAAGGGUUUCCCCCCUUUANGGUGCAGCAAACGCAUUAAGACUCCGCCUGGGAGUACGGUCGCAAGACUGAACUCAAAGGAAUUGACGGGGGCCCGCCCAAGCGGUGGAGCAUGUGGUUAAUUNGAAGCAACGGGAAGAACCUUACCAGGUCUUGACAUCNUNUGACAACCCUAGAGAUAGGGCUUCCCCUUCGGGGGCAGAGUGACAGGUGGUGCAUGGUUGUCGUCAGCUCGUGUCGUGAGAUGUUGGGUUAAGUCCCGCAACGAGCGCAACCCUUGAUCUUAGUUGCCAGCAUUCAGUUGGGCACUCUAAGGUGACUGCCGGUGACAAACCGGAGGAAGGUGGGGAUGACGUCAAAUCAUCAUGCCCCUUAUGACCUGGGCUACACACGUGCUACAAUGGGCAGAACAAAGGGCAGCGAAGCCGCGAGGCUAAGCCAAUCCCACAAAUCUGUUCUCAGUUCGGAUCGCAGUCUGCAACUCGACUGCGUGAAGCUGGAAUCGCUAGUAAUCGCGGAUCAGCAUGCCGCGG
rnacentral:rRNA from 1 species